rnacentral:lncRNA from 1 species
UUAACAUAUCUCAUUUGGAACCACCAUGAAGAGAUCAAGCACAUUGACACGGUGAGAGCUUACACUUUUGGUUCACAUUACUUCGUGGAGGUGGACAUAGUGUUGCCUCAAGACAUGCUCUUGAACCAAGCCCACAAUAUCGGGGAAAAACUUCAGGAGAAGCUGGAGCAAUUGCCUGAAGUUGAGCGAGCUUUCGUCCAUAUUGAUUUUGAGUUUAGUCACAGGCCUGAGCACAAGAAUAAAGUAUGAGCUAGAUGAUCAUAGCUGACCAUUUAGAGGUAGACGACCAUAUCUGAGCGUUGGGAGGAGAAGCCCAUUCAAAAGCAUUUUAUACCGACUGACAUGUGCUGUAAGAUUAAUUUUUGGCUAAAAUAAUGUUAUUAUUAGUAGAGCUACUUUGGAAAAAAUGCGCCCCCUUUGAAUGGAAUUGUAAUAAUGAGGAGAAGAUCCUUUUCCCAGUGGACGAUGCCAUUUUUAAGUGAAAUGAAACCGCUAUGUUUGGUGGCCUCUCCUUCUACAUGAACAUAAAGAAAGCAUAUAAGGCAUAUCCGAGGAUCAAACUGCAUGAGCUUCGUAAGUAAAAUGCAGGGCUCGAGUUUUUUCUUUUGCUACCACAUUAAUGCUAAUUACAAAUGUGUUGUCAAAGGAACUUCCUGCUUCUCUGAAGAAUCAAUCUGGCAUGGUUUUUCAUUAGGUGAGCAGGAUCUACGGACGUGAUUAAGUUGCCAAUGCCCUACUUCAUAUUUGUCCGUCAUAUGCUUUGUUAUAUGAAUACGUAGAUGUAUACAGAUCUAUUAACAAUAUAAAUGCUGUCUCUAGGAAAGAUGCUAGAAAUAUCAUAAGUCUGUGACAAAACUUGUUCAUAAUUGAAGAUGGGAUAUUCAGAGAGUAACAGAUCAACUACUUCGUUGAUGAGUCUCACUCAUUUCAAUACCCAACAUUCAUGUGUCACAGGUCGGUUGAACACGAUUGAUCAAACAGAUCACCGCGCGGCCUUAGGAUUUGUGAUCCCAAGUCAGCCUACUCACUCACACGCACCACACAAGGGUUGGCUGCACAAGGGGUGAAUGUAUUUCACUAUGAAUGAGCUGAGCUCAAAUGAGGGGGAGGGACCCCUUUUAUACAAGUUCGGGUCAAUUCUCGGCCGUGGAUCGUCCCUCCGAUCCAACGGCUGUGUUUGAACAAUGGCCAUCAUUACAAAUCAACUCAGCAAGCCGCUCAAGGGCUGCAAGCCUUGGGAAACAGCCAUAGGCCAGGCGCAAGUCAGAAGCAAGAUCAGGGGCAGCAUGGACGUGUCAGGGCCAGCAUGGGCGAGCAUGGCUGUUUGACACGGAGCAGGUGAACCACUCCUGGCUUGUGUAAGGGCUGGCCGAGGAUUGAUCAGGAGCUGCUUGCUGGUUGUGCACGGAUCAUUCCCUACAUUGUGCACGGGCGAAUCAGGCACGGAUCGCAGAUCGUGCAAGGGCCGAUUGGUGGAUCGGUCAGGGAUCAAUCAAGGGUCGAUCGGGGACUGAUCAGUGAUCGAUCAGGGAUCGAUCAUGGACUGAUGCGGGAUCGGUUAGGGACUAGUUGGGACAGGGAUCGAUCAGGGCGUUCCCAGCAAUGCCCUGGUGCGUGACAUGGCCGCGCACGGAUGGUCUUGGGCAUGCACCGUCCGUGCUCGGCCGUGUCACAUGCAUCAACUUCUACUUUUCUGGCCAUCAAAUUAGCUUGGCAAAAUAAUAUGACCAAAUCCCUCUCAUUCACCACACCCAAAUGCAGAGCCGAACCUCGUUUCUGAAACUCUGAAGGUCAUUCGUUUCUUUUUCUUCAUUGAUGCUCUGCACUACCAAAAAACAAACUGCAGGAGAUGUAUUUCGCAGGUUUCCUCCCUUUCGUUGAGACGUAUGCCAGGAACAUUGUGGUUUGCUAUUCCAUUAUUAACUGCUAUAGGUCACGACUCUCCUGAAGGUCAACUACUAAGAGAAAAGUGGUGGAUUACUUAGCUCGGACGCUUCGAAGCCCAAUCACAACUUUGAUCCUCAAUUCAAUUGUGCAAUUCAAAUCAUUUUGGAGCUGCCACAACCUAUUAUGGAUCAAAUAGGAAUCCAAGUAAAGCACGUGAGUCUGUUUUAUUUUCGUGAACUAGAGAAUCGUGAGUUUAGGAACUUGACAUUAGAUUAAUCUAACAUCAUUUCAAUACAAUUUUUUUCUCUUUUUAUGAAUGCGUUUGUCAUUCAAUCUUCAUCAUUUUCAUCAUCCUAAAUUGCUAACAUGUGAAAAUAAUCAUAAGAUAAACACCCAAUAAUCAAAGUAGUAAAUAAAUUAACCGCCCCAGUGACACAUCAACCAUGCCCCUUCCCUUUCUCCGAUCAUCAAGCCCUCCCGAUCACUUUCUUUGUCUUUCAUCCCCCUGAACAGCCCGUUCUUUUGAAUUUAAAAAAGAAAACGGGUGAACAUGUUUCCCCUUUGAAGUGGCGAAGGCCUAAUGCCUGAAGUAAGCAAAAAGAUAGGUGAAGGUUACGAAGUAAGUCGGCUGGUUAAGGAAAGCUCAGAUUAUGAAAUCGCUUAGCUGUUAAAUUAAUUAAAUUAAUGAAGUUCCCAUUUCAGGUUUCGGUGACUCUUCCUUCUCUUCUCUUUGGAGUGUGUUCAAGCUUAUGAAUUUGAGCCGAGGCCAAAUAAACGCACUUAGAAUCAUUGGUGAGAUAGAAUUAACUUACCACAAUAGGUAUUUGAUUACAAAUAUAAUAAAGAAGAUCUUCAAGCCUACCUCGAAAGAGUCAAUUGCCCAUUCCCCAUAGUUUUGGAUUCCGUUGUCCCUUUGCGCUUUGAUUAGGCCCACCUGCUGCUUCAUGCAAUAGCACGCUUCAAAGCAAAUGAGCUUCACCAGCUAUACAUGCAAUAGCACGCUCCGAAGCAAACGAGCUUCACCAGCUGUAGCCUUAUGAACUAGUCAAGUAGCUUCUUUCCGGCAAAGCUUACCAAUCCUACACUCCUUUCUCCUAUUCUCUGUCAAGUGGAGCCUUUCAGACAUCGACAAACCAAAAAGAUUCUGUCUCUCAUAAGGAGUCCUAAACAAAUCUACCGUUUUGGACGUACUCAAGGGCUUGGCUUGCCCAAAGGAGCCGCUUCUUACACUUUUCCAAUAGCUUAGUACUCAACAAGGGAAGAGGGAUAGCACUGAGCAACUGGCAAAGUGAAUUAGUCGUUUGAUUUCAAGUUCCACAGUAGGAUAAGGAAAAAUUAAGGAACUUGAAAUGCAUCGAGCAACCCUAAGGAAAGCCAAAUCAUUGAUCCCCAAGAUGGGAGCCUUGUAAACUAUCAGUCAGAACAUAACGAUGCAAUGAUAUAAUCUGGCCUACAUGUGAUGUAUACAACUUUUAUGAUUAUGUAUGGAACCUAAUCUAAUCUUUUUGGUUUUUUCUUCCUUUAAUUACCAUGACAAAUUCAAAAUUAUCUCUUAAUAUACCACAUGGCCGAAACUCUACAUGCAUGCAUAACUUGAAUUACCAGAUGAAAUGCAUGAUGAAUAACAUGAAUUAAUCCUAUCAUGCAACAAUUAACUAGACAUAACCUAAACGAGACAUUAAACUAAUUUCUUUUGUGGUUCUUUUUCUUUGAUUAAUGAAUGCAAAAUUAAUCCCUUGAAAGAGUACGUGGACAAGACUCUGCAUGUUAAGCCAACAUUCAUGAAAUUAAACUAAUUCACAGGAAAAAUAUGAUGAGAAUCGCAAAAGUUGCUGAGGCGACUGAUACAAACCUGUGGUGAUUUUGGUAGAAGUUGUUGAGCUGGUAGUAUCCAUAAAUAGGACGCUUCAUAUGCUUGGGCACCUGAUGAAAAAACAAAGUGGAGGAGAGAUCCCCUGUUAUAAUUAUGGUUAAUGGAUCAUAAUAGCUAACAAAUUAAGAUACGUCUUUUCUAUUCACGUAUCUAUUGAAUUUAUGAAUUUCCUAAAUUCAUCUAUCUUUUAAUUCAUAUAUUUAUUGAGUUUACGAAUAUCUUGAAUUCACGUGUCUCUGGAUUCAUGAAUUUUUUGGAUUCACGUAUCUCUUGAUUCAUGAAUUUCUUGGAUACAUGCAUCUAUUUAAUUCAUGUAUCUCUUCUGUAUAUGACUCUAUAAAUAGAUAAGAGCAUAGAACUUCAUGAGACGGUUUUCGAUAGUACAAUUCGAGACAAUGAUUCCAAAAGAGAUUUGAAAUACUACUAUACUCUUCUGAUUUUUUUGGAUGUACUGGUUCAAUUAAACAGUUCGACUGAGUCCUGUUUGCAUAGUGUUAAUCCAAACAGAUUUGAGGUGUUGUAUUUUGGGAGACAUAGUUCAUGAAUCUGCGGAAUACCAUUGGUAGGAACUAAUCGCCUUAAGGAGAUUCGGAUAUCCGUACCCCACCUCCAAUUUUAUGUUAUUUUUCCAGUAAUAUCUUAUUUUAUUCUUCUUCAAGAUUUGUAAGUUUACAUAAAAAUAAAGAUAUUAUAAAGCUGUUACCGUCUUCUUUACAUUGAUGUUCUGAUUAACAGUUUGCUUUCUCUAGAUUAUAUUCCAACACCCCCUGAGUUUCACAUAAUCGGUGUGAUCUUCUUUCAACUAAUAGUGGACAGUUGGAGGGUUAUUCAAGUUUUAAGUGCAACUAAUGCAUUAUUAAGUCCAGAAAAAACUUACUCUUGACAUCCUGUUGCAGGUUUUGUCCCCAGGUAUCUGUAUGUUCUGGACUCUAUCGGUUCUAUUGGAUGCUGGUAAGCACUCAAUGUCGUACUGAUCAAUCAUCUCGACAGCCUAAAAAAUAAGGAUAUAUAUAUAUAAACUACUGCACAUUAUCAUAAUGAUGAAAGCAACCAGCCUCGGGAUUAAGCUUACAUCACGGGAAGCAAACAAAGAGGCAAGUCCAAUUGGAAGGAAAACAAUGCUAACCAGCAUGAAUGCUGAAAUCACCUGCACAAAAAAUGGGAGACUUCAGUAUUUUUAUCAGGAAUUGGCAAAUGGUUACGAGAUGUACAUAUUUUAGACUUGGUUAUCUUUGAGGGUGCGUUCUUCGAUGGAAGGACAACUAUGUCGUCAUUUUGUUCUUGUUAAAGUCAGGGUGUGACAAUACCUUGUCGAUUUGGGGGUAAAAUGUACAGCACAAAAUGGUUGGUCAUUCACUCUUUCAAAUGGGGUAAACAUUUCUUCUUUUUCUCUCCUUCAGCAAAUGUUCAUUUAGAAUCUUUCAGAACAAAUUACUGUAAUAUAGAAACAUUCGACCGCGAAUAUACAUUCCCAGGUCUGUUUUAGUUGUAGGAUUGCCUCAUGGAUUCUCGAAUUGAAGGAAUUGAUCUGGUUUUAUCCUACAUAAGCAAAUUUUGCUACCCAAAAUAUUUUCUUGACGGAGGCGAAAUAACCCGAAAAUGAAAAGAGAAAACCCCUAACCAACUUGCAGUUAAAGGGGGCCAUCACUAUGGGGUGGUCACCUUCACAAUGACUAUUGCUACAACUUAGAAAGGACCGACACUCUCUGAAAGUUUUCGAGUUGUGUCGGACACUCCGACAUAUGUUCGAUACUUUCGGACAUUCUCUAACACGUAGUCAAUACGUGUUGGAAAAUCCAACACCUGAUCAAUUGUCUUGAUACUCUCCGGCACUCGAGUCAAAAAUACGAAAUGUGAGUUUUUGACACGUGAUUUCAAUACAUGAUAUCAAUUUUUAAAAAUUUCAAUAAAUGAUAGGUUAAAAUGUAUAUAUGUGAAAAAAUAAUAAUAAUAAUAAAUAAAGGAAGAAGAAAAGCCUAAUCUUCUCUUCUUUUCUGACUCUCACUUUUUUUGAUACAUAAUUCACCCUCCAAUGUUUUUUUUUUCCUUUUCUCUACUGACACGUCUGACAUGUGAGUCAAGAAUGUGAAUUGUUUGUUUUUUUCUUUCAAUUUUUAUGGAUAUUGGAAUGGAGUAGAAUUUGUCAAAUUAAAACAAUAAAUGAUACUAAUAAAUUAUGGAUUAAUGUUUUUAGUAUAAACUUAUUCUAAACUUUUUACUAUUAUUAUUUAUUUAUUUGUGAAUUUGAAUCAAAUUAACGUAAAAAUGAUAACUUAUUAUGUAUAUAUAAUACAUUUAAUAUAUAACGUGUUCUAACGUGUCAGAACUCUUUGUUUUUUGAGAAAUGACGUGUUAAUGUGUCUGUUCUGUUGUGUCGCGUGUCGCAUAUCGGUAUCAAUACUAGUUAGGCUACAACUACGGCAAAGGGUGACCAGAGAUGUUCACGACCCCAAUGGCAAAUGAAGAUAGAGAAUCCCUUUACUUAUGUUUUUGUUGAUUUUGUUAUCUUAUCCGGUCGGGUAAAAUUAUCUUCUCCCUAUAGUCCGAACAACUCAUCUGAGUUCUCAUUCAAAUCCAGAUUAUGCCGAUCUAUCCAAUCCGGCUCCUCGAACGUGCCCGCCCUUAUUGUUUAAUGAGCAAGGAUUUCAUUUGCCUAAGUAAACAACGGGGAGGAAACUCCUAGAGUCCUUUACCAAGGGCAGUCCAUAGCUGAAAUCUAUAUGAUGAAGAACAUCAUCUCAUCAGCAGUGGUAUUAAGAUCACCAACGUAGUGCAUCUUCAUCUUUCAAUGGUUUCCAUGCAAAGUAUAAUAAGGGUGCAUUUGGUAAUUGUUCUACUCUCUAAAAUAAUUUCUACUUAGAUUUUUUUUUUUUUUUCUGAUUCUAUUCCUUAAACGAAUUUUUAAGCAUUUGAAGGCAUUUGGUACGAUCCUUAAAUUCUUUUGUGACUUAAAAUUUCUUUUAAUUUUUAAAUAAUUUUAUUAAAUUUUUCUAUUUUUCUUCUUCUUCUUCCUUUAGCCAGUCACCAGCUAAGACCAAGGCCUAUGACUGGCUAAAGGAGGAAGAAUAAAAGGAAAAAAAGAAAAGAAAAUAGAUAAAAAGAAACAACUUUGAUUUUAGAAUUAUUCUUGAGAACAAAAAGUGACUUUUUCCCACUUUUUAGUUCUGUUUCAAAUCUAUUAUUGGAAAUAAAAAAAAUACCAAAAUAGAUUAUUUUUUGAAGAAUAAAAGAAUAAAAUUAAAUAUUAUUUAACAUGUUAUCAAAUAAAUCCUAUGUAAAAGUAGUCCACAUCAAAUUGGGGUCUCAUUUAUCAAGAAGUUGUAGGUUUUCAUUGAGUCGAGUCCGUGCUCGUCUAAAGAAGGCCCCCUGAUGAAGGAACCUCCCCCUUGGACAAGACCCUCAAAUGAUUCGCGUGCUUCUUAUCUUGUUACUUUUACCACUUGGUUUCGACACGGGACAUAAUAGAUUAGGGCGGCCCAUAAGGAGAAGGGAUGACGAUGUCGUAAAGGUGACUUCUUAUAUUUUAUUGCCUCUCACCGCCAGGUGGUUGAUUGAGAAAUGUGCCAUGAUUUGCUUUCAGAUCCUAAGCCUUUUGUGCGAUUCGAGUUGUCGUUUUCCCGGGGCAAGUGGAUUGGUUGGGAUUCCGAAAUGGGACUAUCGUACACGGAAUAAUGCUUAGUUUAUUUGAGCUAUAAUUAGGGUAAGUUAAGUGACGAAGUCGGGGAGCGUGGAAGAUAAGGUUAGGUGUCUUACACUCAGAUGUCACGCUCCUAAAAGCACUCACGACUCCUCUUAUUCGUUCUUUUGCCGUCACCGGAUAGAGAAAGGAGACCAUUUCUUCACGAACGCCUCGUGUGAUAUUGAGGCAAUGCCAUGGCUGUUGUAGUUAUUAAUGAGAGAUUUUUAUGGGGUCAUAACCAAUUGUUCUAAAAAUAUAAAUUGUUAAAUGGAGGUAUAGUUUAAUAUUUAUGAGAUAACUAUCGAUUUUAGAAGUUUAAGCUAUUAGAUCACUCUAACAGCUCAAAUGUCGUUUCAUUCUGAACUUUUUGCUUGGAACGCCAUUUGGGGGAAGGUGGAGUGCUUUUUGCGAUGGAGAAGCGAGAGGAAGCUUUGUCCUCUCCUUUUUCGCUGCCCACCCCAAUUUGUUUAAGGAACAAAUUCAAAAAAGCUUGGCUGUUUUGCUUUCGUGGGGUUUUGCCCCGUUUGGCAACACAGUCCCUGCUCUCUCCCUCUCUCCUUUUGGACUUUGCUCAUAUCAUCAUCAGCAGAAGAAAGUACUAUUACUCUUCUGAAGUUGCAUAAGUUGGGUGAAAUCUCGAGGUCGUGUGAGAACAAAAGCGUGCACAACGUAUCGAUGCUGCGACGUGAGAUGAAAGCGUAACUACUAUCUAAACCGGUAUUUACGGAACAGCUCGGUCGACUCAGUAAUUACAUUUGGGAGAUGUGCUCCUGGGAAGGAGAAGGACAUCUAAGAUGUAAUAUAUGAUGAUGAACAGGAUGUACAAAUGCAGGAAUUGGAAGUUGGCCAUUUGUCUGGUGACGGGAGAUGCUCGCGAAUGCCAGUUUUUUACCAAGUCUCGUUCCUAAUAUUAGGUACGAAGUUCGUCUAAAAUGGUGAGUGAGAGAGAAAGUGGGUUCACCAAUACCUUAUAUUAUUAAUACUAUGUUAUAUUAUAUUAAAUUAUAUUAUAUUAUAUGGUAUCUUUCUUGAGGCCUUCCCAAAAUGCAGUAAUUUAAACGAUACGUGCAUGCGUGGGUGGGUGGGUAUAUAAUAUAAAGAAUGGAAAGGUAGAGAUGAGAGCUUGGGCCUCCCAUCAUCCAAACAGGUCCCCUCCCCGGUGCGUCGUUGUGGCUUGCUUCCUGGAAAACCGACUCCGGAAUUACAGAUUUUCCUGGCGACAAUCAUGGAGCAGAACAGCCCCCAACACCUGAGCGUCACCAUUGGCGAAUCCCGUCGCGAGCUCCUCUCUCCCCUCCCCGACGAUCCUCCCCCUUCCUCCAUGGACGUCUUCGUCGACGACGACGACGGCUACGACGGCUCCUCCGCUCCCUCAUGGCGUCUCAGCCUCACCGAGUUCCACCUCCCUCCCCGCGACCCCCACCGCCGCCGCCCCCUCUCUCGCUUCUCCUGCCGCCACCUUCUCCCUGCUCCGAGUAUCUCUCUCUCUCUCUCUCUCUCUCUCUCUCUCUCUCUCUCCAUGCCGCUUUUUCCGUGGAAGUGAAACUGCCUCCGUCGUAGUGUCAAAAUCCUGGCAUUUCCAUUUCCUUGCUUAUUCGCCGUUAUGUAUCUCUGUUGCGUAAUCCAAGCAUCUCCCGUGUUACACUUCGCACGAUCGCCACCCUCCGUGCGAUCGCCUCAUGCUUCGGCUUCUCUCCAUCGAAAGCAGCGACGCCUUCUCUGGAACGCAUGCGCCGUCGCUAACUCCAUGAAACUACGUUGAUACCUUAGACCAUGCUUUUGACAUUUUCGCUGGUCGACGGAAAUUAACAUGCCGUAUCCUGUCUGCAUCAUUUUUCUGGCAACUUCUCUUGCAGAAGCGCCACAACGUCUGGGACCGACCUGCUGUUGCUUGGUCCGUGUUUGUAUUUAUGGGUGAAUUUGUGCUUGGUCCGCUGGGCAGUGUUCCACCGUGGUGGGAUCCCACAAUAACACAGAUAUUCAUUGCCAAGUACUUGGAAUUGUUGAUUAUGACAUAGCUUUCGAGCCUUUUUUUCUUUUCUUUUCUUCUAGCCAGCACCCAGCAGUAUCAAUCAACAGAAACGCGGAUGAAAGUUAACGAGGUCUGACUUGUUGCUUCAUUAGACCGUCUAAAUCCAUCGCACCGUGUCCUUUCGACUUAGCUUUCUGUAAAACCUGUCAAAACUGAGCGGUACGAGGAAAGUCAUUCCGUAAGCAUCAUUUUAGUGAAAUGGAAAUUGAGUAUGAAGUUUUAAGAUGUUUAGUGGCAUGUAAUGGCUACUCUCACCCGUGGUCAAAUUCAGGUCAUAGUGUUGGGGAGUCAAGUUAUAUUAUAGAAUGUUAUUGUGCUUUCAACAUUAGGAGAAACCGUUCAAGUCUGGAUCUCCUUAUUUUGCUUGUAACUGACUCAGAUUGUAUUCAAUAAUUCCAAUUCAGGGAAAGAGCGCAAGAUAGCAGAAUAUUACGAGAAACAGGAAAGCCUUCUCGAAGGGUACAAUGAGAUGGAGGCCAUGACUGACUCAGAUUGUUUUCCAGGAAGCCUAACUGAGGUAGAUUGCAUGUAGCUCAUAUCAUCCUACUUUUCGUUAGUUUCAGACCUCCGAGGGGAUUGUGCUUUCUUAGCUCUAGGAAAAGCAGAUUCUUCGGCAUAAUGAAAUGCUUCUCCACUGGGUAGCUGUUGAAGCAAGAGAGACAAUCAUUGAGAUAAUAAACCUGAUUUUAUGACAUUGUACUUCGAGUUUUCUAAGAAGACAUCGCUUGUGAUCAAUUAACUGCAAUCUGUCAGGAUGAAAUGAAGCAGCUCGCAAAGAGUGAAAGAUUUGCGGUCCAUAUUUCAAACAUAGCAAACUUGGUGCUUUUCAUAGCAAAGGUCUUCGCUUCUGUUGAGAGCAGAUCGCUGGCAGUUAUCGCCUCAACCUUGGAUUCAUUCUUAGAUCUACUAUCAGGUUUUAUUUUGUGGUUCACGGCAAAUGCUAUGAGGAAACCAAACCAAUAUCAUUACCCUAUUGGUAAGAAGCGGAUGCAACCAGUGGUAUGUUCCCCUGAUUCCUUGGUUAAAAAAUUGUCGCGGAUCCAUGGGGAAACACAUGAAUCGAAUCGACUUUUCUUUUGCUCCCACUUAAUUUCGCUAGCCUUGCCUAGACCUAUGACUAUUAACUAUUGUUAUGGAUUACUUUCUCCCUUACUACUGGAAAAACGAGAUGUUCGAUUCUGACUGACCAUGUAACUUGGUUCUUCUGCCGUGCCUUCUUUUCUCUUUGUUAUGUCACUCGAUUACGAUGGAGUGCUCAUUUUUCGAUAGCUUUAGCAACCGUGAUAAUGCAUGUGUUAUCUUUAGAUAACAGCUGGCUGCUUAGUUGAAUUACAACAACAAAUUAUACUCAAUUUCCCUUUGUCUCUAUGAUUAGCUCACAAGAGAAGGCAGUGUCAGAUAUAGUUUGUGUAUAGCAGGGCUAUUGAAGUACUGUAGGAUGAAGCGUGGCACUGAUGACGGGAACCAAAUUGCCAUGCAGACCAGGGGUGACCAAAAAAUGACAAGAGUAGACGGUUCUGGUUUGAUUUGGCUUCAGGUCGAGAUUAUGUUGGUGGUGUCUUGAGUGUAUCCAUUGUUGGGUCCCUGUGGUCCGUUACUUACGAAAACCUGAUCAAUAUGAAUUUUAAGUUGUACUUAAUCCAUCUCUGAUAUUGAUUAACCACGUGAAGUACUUAAGACUAAAUAGCAUCAGAGCUAAGUGAAAUUUGGGAUGUUACAGUUCUGGUUUCACAGCGGAUUAUGGAGAGAUUAGGUGGAUUAGGAUUAGGAAGACAGAGCUGCUUUGGUUUUCGGAGUGAUGAGGUGAUUCAAGGCUUAGAGAAUGUAAUAGCCUGUACCCAUGAGAAUUACUAGGAUUUACACAAGUUAAUAUUAGGUCAUUACGAUUCUGAGAUCAAAGCUAAGUGAAAUUUGUGAUGUUACAUGUGGUGUUGUCUUACAAUCCUUCGUUUUAAUGUCCAAACACAAUAAAUCACAGUAAUGAGAGAGAGAAGAGGGGAGGGGGGGGGGGGGGGGGGGAGAGAGAGAGAGAGAGAGAGAGAGAGAGAGAGAGAGAAUUAUGAACCAUACCAAACUAGUUUUUUUUUUCAUUGGUUCAACUCAACAUCUUCAGUUCUUUUUUUUUUUUUGGUAAAGAACAUCUCCAAUUCAUUUGAUCAGCACAUAAACAAAAAAACUGUUUUGUCUACAAAUCAAUGAAUAAGAUGGCCGCAGUUUGACAUAGAUGCUAUUUAUAUGUCGGAUGGGUAAAAAUAGUUAAAUGAAUGCUUGUUAUAAGAGAGAAACCAGUCAAAAGGAAAAAUAAGACUGUUUUUUUAGGUACCGGGAGUCGAUGACCCCAAUAUUAUAAGCAAUGAGAAAUUGCUUGAAAUUUUCUCGAUCAGAGUAAUAUGUGUUGACUAAUCAAACUUUCUGAUUAAGCUAUGAGUGUAAUGGUAUUGGUGGUUUGAAAAUGCAGGGUAUCAUUGUAUUUGCUUCAGUUAUGGCAACUCUUGGCUUACAAAUCCUGCUGGAGUCUGCUCGAGAAAUUCUCUCCAAGGCAAGUAAUCUUUAUGUUGUUUGCCUUUUCAUGUCCCUUUGCAAACAAAUUUAAAUACAGAGCCUGGGAUAGACUAGUUUACAGAGCAGUUAGAACGGGAGGAGUUCUAUUCAGCUAAUAAUAAUUGAAGAAGGCUUUGAGUCUUGUCUGGGUACUUGGAUAUUCUAGUCAGUCUUAAACUUUAAGAACUUACCUUAAGUAUAUAAACUUCUUCUUCCGAGUUUUCAUUUGGAUACUCCUAGAAAUUUCCGGAAAAAAAAAAUGUUUUUGCAUCACAGAUGACCUUCAUUCGAUUUUACUACCACUUCCCAAUAAAUCAAAUGUUUUAAACACGCAGACUUAAGGUACACUUACUAAAGUUUAGACUGUCAUCUCACUCCUCCAGUUCACUCAUUUUAUCCCACUCAUCUUAUCCCAUUAUAUUUCAAUCAAAUCUACAUGCAGUCACGCCCAGAUACUGAUCAUGAGAAGGAGAAGUGGAUGAUUGGGAUUAUGGUUUCUGUUACAGUAGUGAAGUUUGCCCUUAUGAUUUAUUGCCGAAGAUUCAAGAAUGAAAUCGUCAGAGCAUAUGCUCAAGAUCAUUUCUUUGAUGUUGUAACUAAUUCUGUCGGUCUGGCGGCGGCUGUCCUAGCCAUCCAAUACUACUGGUGGAUAGAUCCAGUUGGAGCUAUAAUAGUAAGUUCAUCUCGAGCAGUCCUACUUUGAGUUUUUCCAUCGUGUGUUUCUGAGAGUUAUAGAUUUACUGUUCCCCUCCAUCCUAGCCAUAUAUUUAUGUUAGUGCACAACUUUUCUCAGCCAAAUUAUGACAUACUCUGCAGAUAGCAAUAUAUACCAUAAGCACGUGGGCAAGAACGGUGAUCGAGAAUGUAUGGUUGCUUAUCGGAAGAACGGCCCCACCUGAAUUUAUAGCGAAGUUAACAUAUCUCAUUUGGAACCACCAUGAAGAGAUCAAGCACAUUGACACGGUGAGAGCUUACACUUUUGGUUCUCAUUACUUCGUGGAGGUGGACAUAGUAUUACCUGAAGACAUGCUCUUGAACCAAGCCCACAAUAUUGGGGAAAUGCUUCAAGAGAAGCUGGAGCGAUUGCCCGAAGUUGAGCGAGCUUUCGUCCAUAUUGAUUUUGAGUUUACUCAUACGCCUGAGCACAAGAAUAAAGUAUGAGGC